rnacentral:rRNA from 1 species
GAUAAACGCUGGCGGCGUGCAUGAGACAUGCAAGUCGAACGAACGACCUCGGGCUUGCCCGAGGAAGUUAGUGGCGAACGGCUGAGUAACGCGUGGGUGACCUGCCCAGAAGUGGGGAAUAACUGCCCGAAAGGGUGGCUAAUACCGCAUGUGGCCAAGAGUUCAUUCUCUUGAUCAAAGCCUUCGGGCGCUUCUGGAGGGGCCUGCGUUCGAUUAGCUCGUUGGUGAGGUAACGGCUCACCAAGGCGACGAUCGAUAGGUGGUCUGAGAGGAUGAUCACCCAGACUGGGACUGAGACACGGCCCAGACUCCUACGGGUGGCAG